UCAGAUUCACUUGGUCGUGAUGACUCUGACCCAUUCAUCAUCAGUCAACUUGGGACUUCGAGGGUGCUAUUAUUCUUUUAUUUCUUUCUUUUGACUUUUUUCUUUUUGAUUCUUUUUUUCUUUUGAUUGAUUUUUUUUGUUUUGCACCCUCCUCUUUUUUUUUCAUGUAUAUGCCCCAGUUGGCUGUUCUGCUGAUUCUCGAGAUACAGCUGAGUGAUCUUCUUUUCUUGCUCAAGAAGUCGGGAAAUCUCG
rnacentral:lncRNA from 1 species